rnacentral:miRNA from 1 species
AUGUGGUGACGGUCAAGACUGCA